rnacentral:sRNA from 1 species
GACCAAGACUCGGAGUAGUUCAUGAAGAGAGAGAAGAGGGGAACAAGGAGAGGCUUAAAAGGAAAAGGCAAAACAGGAAGCGACCAUUCCCAGAGACGGACAGACAGACAAACCCAAGGAGGGUGAAGUCAACUGUCUUCCUGGCCUGUUGGGAGCCAUCCCCUCACUUUGAACUGAGCCAAAGGAGUCCAGCCCACAAGGCGUCUGAGGAAGGGAUGUCCCUGCCCAACUGGAGAAUCUCCCCAAGGGCUCAGCUGGGAAACACCUGUCACUCAACCAGGAGAUUUACUCCAAACUUCAAGUCCAGCUUUUUAGAAAGUAGAAGACUGUCUACUCCUCAGGUAUGGAGCCCAGGCCCUGAGGCAGGACGAUGAGAAAACCAAGGCACUGAAAGCUGGAAAGGGGCAGACCAGAUGCAAACACUGCUUUCCUGACUCCACUCACUACAAGCUGCUUCCUUAAGCCUAAACUUGGCUCUUGCCUCACAGGACUAUCUUGCAGGAACCUAGCAACCCACCUUGCCCCAUCAUAAGGCAGAGGAGGCAGAGAUCACAGACAGCAUUCUCUCCAUUACCUACAGACGGAGAAUUAAAGCACAGAGAAGGUGCGAGGGACAAUUGUGGUGAUCAUGACAAGACAGCCCUCGGAUCUGAAUCCACAUCCACCUUGAUGGGUUGAGAGGACUAGAAACCAGAGAACAACCCCAUCUCUAAUGCUGCAAGAGGCCCCUGAUGCAGGAUCUUGUAGGAAUGAGAAGGCUCCAUGGAACGGGACCAGGCAGGAGCAGAGAGGAGCCACGAUACGUUAACUCUUCCAGUCACCCCACUGAUCAAAACCUUAAGACUUGAGGAUUCUGGUUCCUUGUGCUAGGGGUCUCCAUCCCCACUCAAGCACAAGAA